AGCCCUUGACAUCCAGAGAAUUUUCUAGAGAUAGAUUAGUGCCUUCGGGAGCUCUGUGAC
rnacentral:rRNA from 1 species